ensembl:lncRNA
GUAAACAACCAACGUCCUUACCGCCCGAAUUCCAUCCCUUCUUAUUACCUCGAAGUGCAGACACUGAAACUAACUGCCGUGAUUGCUGCAGACAGCACAGAACGGGCCCUUUUCCUGUCUAACCAUUCAGACGAGUUCCAGUCUCAAAUUCAGUCAGUGUUCCAAAAACAAGCAUACAGAUAUCACAAAGUGCUAUUCAGAAACCCAGCCUAAAACCCCAAACAGCAAGCAAUGCAGAUGUAGCAGUAUAGUGGCUAGGAAAAACUCCCUAGAAAGGCAGGAACCUAAGAAGACGCCUAGAAAGGAACCAUGAUCACAUGCAUAGAUUGAUGGUGGCAUCAUGUUCACCUGUUGCCGACCUCUUGAUGGACUCAGCCACUCUUAUGUGCUCUUUUGUUCCUGGUACUACAGAGUGUCUGUUUCUCUUUGACACCCUAAAGGCUGCUUAUUCAUUCACAUGCAUUGGCAACACGCUGGACCACUUGUCUCAUCCCGUUGCAUACACGUGUUUCAGUGUGAGAACCAGCGACCACCAGACAAUCCAUGUCACUGUUGUUAUCCUGACUGAGAGUCUGAGACACCACACUGGAUCAGGGAAAAGGGAAGGUCACACUUAAGUGAUCCAGAUGAGUCCUUUUGUUUAGGUCCAGUCACAUCUCAGUGGACUAAGACGUUCCAGUCCUUGUCCUGCCCGCAUAAACACUCAGUAAAAGGCCUGCCUGCCCAGAGCUUCCAGUGAACUCCCUCCUCUCUAUUCUGUCCCAGGUUUAGGCCUGUGUGCUGCUAAUUCAAUAAGUGUUUAUUUGUCACAUUCAGGAAAGCAAUAAACGCCUCAUUGUUUCAUUUUGUCUUCAUUUAUUCAAUUGCCAUUCCCCUGCAUUCAUUCAGAAAAGCCCUCUCUCUCUCCCUCUCUCUCUUUCUUUGAUAUCAACAAGCAGCUCUUCUGUUGAGCAGACACAGGACACAGAACUUGAACCGCG